AUGUAAACAUGUCUUUUGAAAUACCAUGCCACUGAAUGUUUUCUAUAUAGUGGUAACCCUGGGGCACCUCUACCUACUACAUGCGUCCAGAGCCAGCUAACCCUCCAGCCUCGAAGCCCUCUCUGCACCCAGUUCCCCGGGCACUCUUGGACCUGCACCUGUGCUCUGGCCUCUCUCUGCCACUAUCAGCACACACCAUGCUAACUCCCAGGCCUGCAUUUGACUUCCUCAGGAACUCUCUCCCGUGCUUCCUCUUGUUAAAAUCUCUUCUUUCUCUUCAGGGUGAAUUAUGUACAAUUAAAGUACAAAAAGGCAUUCCAGUCAGGAGAAAAAAAAAUCAAUACAAUAUUUCUGUUUGGCACCAAGAAGUGAAAGACUUUUAAAGGACCCCAGGGAAUCAAGCCUGGUUCAAUGGACAGCGCGGGGGUGCAGACUUAAGAGGGGUAGGAGGCAAUGGCUCAGAGUGCAGAAGACCAGGAGCCGCAGGACACCUCUCUCCACCCUCACCUUCAGAGAAGCCUUGAGACCCUAGAUCUUGGAAGGAGCCACUAGAAGGGGCGAACGUGAAAAGGCCUGCAUCCCGCAACACACAACAGGCCACACGAUACCGGGAGCCAAGACACAAUCGUGACAACAGUAGGAGGGCGGAUGGCGACGCCACACAGCUCGCAAAACAGUCGAGGGGCCGCUAUCAAGUCUUUCGACUGAGGGGACGGCAGAAAGCGCACUUCAAAGAGCCGUACGGGUCAGCGCAUCCUCGGGACGCAUCACGCAGCCUGGCCGGAGGGCAGCGGAAAGGACGCCAUUCAAAAACCACAUGUCCGAGGAAGAGACGGGAGAGCCCGUGCACGCCACUCCACGCGCCUAGGACGCGCGCCUCACGACGACGUAACCGCACCAGCGUCCGGACGCUGACGAUACACGAGGGGCGGAGCCAUGAUGUAAGCGCGGGCGCAGCCAGCCGCUCGCAGCAGGUGAGAUGAAGGGGCGGGGGGGGGGAUGUCUGGCCAGACUGCGGGGGAAGGGGGGAGCCUGUGAGCAUGCGCACUGAGAGCCAGGCGGAGCCGGCCGGCCGGCGUGCGCACCUAGAAGCACAGGGGCCGCUGGUUGCCGUGGCAACGAGGAGCCGUUCAGAAAAGGUGCGGCUGAGAGACAGGGAAGGCCAUUGUGAGUUUGUCCCGCAGCGCUGUCUGAAGUAUAAAGCUCUGGUGCAGAGAAGGGAGCGAGAGCCGAACGUGGGGUAGUGUUGGGGCGGGAGGUCCGGGUCGCUGUGGUCGGUCCGCGGAUCCUGCCUGCGCUGCACAAGGCUGUGAUAUAACGAGGGACCUCACGGACCAGAUUUCCAACGACUUCUCUUGUCUCUGGGGGCGUAUUUUAAAUUUA
rnacentral:lncRNA from 1 species